UCCAAAGAAAUGCCACAGGAAAAACAGGCACAUUUAGUGAACCGAGAAAAAUAAUUAUAUUAGAUUGCUUACAAGAUAUUGUAUAGCUGGUGGAUAUCUACAGAAUCUCAAUAUGAAAAGAGUAAGAUUAGACUACAGAGAACAUGCGUCUGAUUAAGAGCCUGUGGCCAGCAAAGCAUGACAGUUCCAUCACUGCUGGCAGAAUGCAAUGGAGAGAAGGAAAAAAAAAAAAAGAAAAAAAGAAAACAACGAGGCGAGCAGAAGGGAUUGCUGCUGUUCCUAAGUCUAGACAGUAAAACAUAGUCGCUGCAAACCAACAAUCACAGUUUUGGUGUUCAGCAUGAGGUACUGCUUGCCUUCUUCUGUCAUGUGAUUCUCUCCAUAAAGAACCAAUUAUUCUACAGACUC